UACGGGGGGGGGCAAGCGUUGUUCGGAAUUACUGGGCGUAAAGGGCUCGUAGGUGGCCAACUAAGUCAGACGUGAAAUCCCUCGGCUUAACCGGGGAACUGCGUCUGAUACUGGACGGCUUGAGUUUGGGAGAGGGACGCGGAAUUCCAGGUGGUAGCGGUGAAAUGCGUAGAUAUCUGGAGGAACACCGGUGGCGAAGGCGGCGUCCUGGACCAACACUGACACUGAGGAGCGAAAGCCAGGGGAGCAAACGGG
rnacentral:rRNA from 1 species